rnacentral:rRNA from 1 species
CAGUAGCCGCGGUAAUACGAAGGGUGCAAGCGUUAAUCGGAAUUACUGGGCGUAAAGCGUGCGUAGGCGGUGAGUUAAGUCUGCUGUGAAAUCCCCGGGCUCAACCUGGGAACUGCAUUUGUGACUGGCAAGCUAGAGUCUGGCAGAGGGGGGUGGAAUUCCGCGUGUAGCAGUGAAAUGCGUAGAUAUGCGGAGGAACACCGAUGGCGAAGGCAGCCCCCUGGGCCAACACUGACGCUCAUGCACGAAAGCGUGGGGAGCAAACAGGAUUAGAUACCCCAGUAGUCCCUGUCUCUUAUAC